GCGGCAGUAGUCUAGCGGUAGGACACGUCCCUGCCACGGACGUAGCCCGGGUCCGAAUCCCGGCUGCCGCA
rnacentral:tRNA from 1 species